GCCUCCGUAGCUCAGUCGGAUAGAGCAGCCGCCUUCUAAGCGGCCGGUCGCAGGUUCGAUCCCUGCCGGGGGCGCCA
rnacentral:tRNA from 1 species